CCUGCGGAAUAGCUCCGGGAAACUGGAAUUAAUACCGCAUACGCCCUACGGGGGAAAGAUUUAUCGGGGAAGGAUUGGCCCGCGUUGGAUUAGCUAGUUGGUGGGGUAAAGGCCUACCAAGGCGACGAUCCAUAGCUGGUCUGAGAGGAUGAUCAGCCACAUUGGGACUGAGACACGGCCCAAACUCCUACGGGAGGCAGCAGUGGGGAAUAUUGGACAAUGGGCGCAAGCCUGAUCCAGCCAUGCCGCGUGAGUGAUGAAGGCCUUAGGGUUGUAAAGCUCUUUCACCGAUGAAGAUAAUGACGGUAGUCGGAGAAGAAGCCCCGGCUAACUUCGUGCCAGCAGCCGCGGUAAUACGAAGGGGGCUAGCGUUGUUCGGAAUUACUGGGCGUAAAGCGCACGUAGGCGGAUAUUUAAGUCAGGGGUGAAAUCCCGCAGCUCAACUGCGGAACUGCCUUUGAUACUGGGUAUCUUGAGUAUGGAAGAGGUAAGUGGAAUUCCGAGUGUAGAGGUGAAAUUCGUAGAUAUUCGGAGGAACACCAGUGGCGAAGGCGGCUUACUGGUCCA
rnacentral:rRNA from 1 species